rnacentral:rRNA from 1 species
AGUUAACGUCACACUUGAUGGGUAUUAACCAACAAGCUUUCCUCACUGAUGAAAGUGCUUUACAACCCGAAAGCCUUCUUCACACACGCGGCAUGGCUGGAUCAGGCUUUCGCCCAUUGUCCAAUAUUCCCCA